rnacentral:rRNA from 1 species
UACGGUGGGUGUCAGCGUUACCCGGAUUUACUGGGUGGAAAGGGCGUGUAGGCGGUUUUUCAAGCCAGAUGCUAAAGACCGAGGCUCAACCUCGGGAGUGCGUUGGAUACUGUGAGGCUAGACGGUCGGAGAGGGCAGCGGAAUUCUCGGAGUAGCGGUGAAAUGCGCAGAUACCGGGAGGAACGCCAAUAGCGAAGGUACCUGCCGGGACGAGUUUUGACGCUGAGGCGCGGAAGCGUGGGGAGCAAACAGG